UACAGAGGGUGCGAGCGUUAAUCGGAAUUACUGGGCGUAAAGCGUGCGUAGACGGUAGCGUAAGUCAGAUGUGAAAGCCCCGGGCUCAACCUGGGAAUUGCAUUUGAGACUGCUCUGCUCGGGUGCGGAAGAGGGAAGCGGAAUUUCCGGUGUAGCGGUGAAAUGCGUAGAUAUCAGGAGGAACACCGGUGGCGAAGGCGGCCCUCUGGACGAUGACUGACGCUGAGACGCGAAAGCGUGGGGAGCAAACAGG
rnacentral:rRNA from 1 species